rnacentral:lncRNA from 1 species
GGACGUUUGGGGGAACUGCAGCCCCGAGGCCAUCGCCAGGGUCAACGUCCUGGGUAAACUGGGAUGGACUGGGAUGGACUGGGAUGGACUGGGAAGGGUUAAAUGGGAACUGGGAGGGACUGGGAUGGACUGGGAGGGACUGGGAGGGGAAUGGGAGGGACUGGGAGGGGACUGGGAGGGACUGGGGUUACUGGGACCACUGGGGGGUUACUGGUCUCACUGGGAGCCGUUACUGGUUUCACUGGGAGCCCUUACUGGUUUCACUGCGGGGUUACUGGUCUCACUGGGGGGUUACUGGUUUCACUGGGGGGUUACUGGGAGCACUGGGAGCCGUUACUGGUUUCACUGGGAGCCCUUACUGGUCUCACUGGUGUCCCUGGGCGCAGGCGAUGGAACCCCCAUCGAUUACAUCACCGUCGAUGAUGACGUCACCGAUUACGUCACCGAUUACGUCACCGCGACCCCCGGGGCUGAAAAAUGGACCGGUACCACCAGUAAAACCAGUACCACCAGUACCACCAGUAACACCAGUAUAACCAGUACCAGUGACACCGGUACCAGUACCACCAGUACAACCAGUACCACCAGUACAACCAGUACCAGUACCACCAGUACAACCGGUACCAGUGACACCGGUACAACCAGUACCACCAGUACAACCGGUACCAGUACCACCAGUACAACCGGUACCAGUGACAGCAGGACCACCAGUGACGCCUCUGCUACCGGUGGAACCAGUAACACCAGUAACACCAGUAACACCAGUACCACCAGUAUGAGGGCUACCGGUACCACUGACACUGGUACCACCAGUACCACCAGUACCGGUGACUCCAGUACCACCAGUACCACCAGUACCAGUGACUGCAGUGCUACCGGUACCACCAGUACCACUGGUACCAGUACCACCAGUACCACCGGUACCACCGGUACCACCGGUACCAGAGCCAUCAGUACCAGUAACACCAGUGCAACCGGUACCAGUGAUUCCAGUACCACCAGUGACACCGGUACCACCAGCACCAGAACCACCGGUACCACCGGUCCCAGUGACACCAGUGCCACCAGUACCAACAGCACCAGUACCACCAGUGACACCAGUACCACUGGCACCAGCACCACCGGUGUCACCGGUCCCACCACUACCAGUGACACCAGUACCACCAGUACCAGUGACACCAGUACAACCGGUACCGGUGACUCCAGUACCACCAGUACCGGUGCCACCAGUGCCACCUGUCCCGGUGUCCCCGGUGGUAUCCGCUGGCCGCCCGCCGUUUGCUCCGCGCUCUUUCCGCCUGUUGCUCCGCCUGUUCUGGGUA